AUGGUACUUGCUUUCGUUUAUGUUUGUGUCAUCAUGAUUUGGACUGUAGAAGUUGGUGUACAGAAGAAGAAAGGGCGAGGUGUAAGAAAAGGUUUUGAAGCAUUUAAGAAGUGUUUUGCCAAUGGAUCUGCAAAGCUAAAUAUUACAUUCUCUGAAAAAUUGGGUGGUAUAGUAGGAAUGAACUAUCGUUCAUUCAAGGAUGACAUGGUAGUCAUAAUGAAAAGAAAGUUACCACUCAUUGGAGUGAGGACGUGGUCGGGCAUUCACCCUACCAUCCAUUGA
rnacentral:rRNA from 1 species